UAAAAAUGCGGACAAUAAUGCAAUAUCUAUGUGGGAAUAAUCAGGCAUAACACAACCUUAUUGAAAAUUGAGAAGCAAAAGUACAACAAGCUAAAGCAAUAUGCUCAUGCCAUUGUUCAUUUCAGUUGCUUUGUAUUCAGACUUCAUUUAAAAGAAAAGGGGCCGAAGACCAGUACAGCAUUACCCUACGAACUGAGCUGGAUAUGCUAACCUAUAUCUGUUCUGCCGUUCUAUAAUUUGGCCAUUAUCCACUGUUUAAAAAUGUUCAACAAAUUUGUGCUGGCCACUUUGUGUUCAAACCCUUUCCAGAAUUUACUCCCUCCCUUGCAAAUCAUUGACCUUUCCCAUUUAAACAAUCAUCUCAUUAACUUGAGUCUUAAAAAAUGUUUCAAUCUCACCAACUUGUCAGAAACCGUAGUCAAAUAUGUAGAAAAUAAUUUCAUUUAAGCAGCCAUCUCAUUCUGCGUUGAAUGUACCAUGCUUUUUCUAUGGAGAGAACAAUCUGCUAGACAUAAUUCUUACCUACACACUCCAUGGAUAACCAUGGUAGUAAGUAUUUCCUUUUCUAAUCUCCCUUAUCCUUCAUUAUAUUUCUCAUACUUCCUACAUCAUCCCACAUCCCUGCACCAGCUAUGCUUGACAACAGCACAUAUGGCACAAUAUUGGUUGGAUACAACCUGAUUAGUUGCCUUGCUUUAACCUCUCCAAGCUCUAUUUAUAAGCGAGUUUUACAAGCAUAAACAAAAGCCUCAAACAAAGUAGGCUUUGUCCCCAAUUGCAUUUUCCUUGCAAGUUCUUCUAAUCGUUCCAUCAAACCAGCCUGGCCAAGUAUACCAAUCAUGCAACCAUAAUAGCCGUUGGUUCAAUAUUGUAUUUUCUUUGCAUUAGAUCAAAGUACCACCAACCCUCUAAAAGCAAUCCUGCAUGUUAACAAGCAGAUAAAACACAAACAGAAGUAAUUUCAUUUGCAUAAUACUGCUCUUCUCCAUAUCCAAGAAAAUUUCCAGGGCUCUCUCCAAGUCCAUUUACACCAUAUCCCAUGAUUAUAGAAUUUCAUGACACAACACUUUUCUGAGGCAUCUCAUCAAAAAUAUGUCUAGCAAUAUCUAUCACUCCACAUUUUGCAUACAUUGUCAAGAAAGUAGCUGAGAGUAAUUUAUCAGGUUCAAUCCCAUUAUCCUUAAUACGAGAAUGAAUCCAUUUUCUCAGAUCAAGCCUUCUAAAAUUUGCACAUGCUGUCAAAAUGCUCACAAGAGUUGCCUUAAUUGUUCCGGCUUCUAUCAUCCUUUCAAACAAUUUCAUACAUUCACUAUAAUUAAUCUUUGCAUUUCAAAUACAAAGCCAACAUGAUAUUCCAAGAAACCACAUUCCUAUAGAGCAUUUGAUCAAAAAUACAGCGCCGUUGAACGUUCCUUAUAUAUCUUCACAUGCCCAUCGAUCAUACAAUGCUUGAUACGACAUAUCUAAAUGGAAUUUGCUCAAACAAUUCUUUGGCUGCCUCCAUUUCUCCCACCCUACAUACCCAGAAAUCAUUGAGUUGCAACUGAAAACAUCUCUAUCAGGCAUAUCAUCAAAAAGCUCACGUGCAAGAGCCACAUCUCCAUUCCUCACAUACCCAUCAAUCAUGGAAUUCCAACUCACCAAUUCCAACAUGACACUUCAUCCAAAACUCUCCCAUAAACAGAUUAUUAUGCGAGAGGCAAUUCCUAACAAAAAGAUCAUUCUCAAACCCAAAUUUUACUGUAAGGGCAUGAGCCUUGUGCCCGUCUGUUACACAUCCAACAACAGCACAAACCUCAGCAACAAGUGGAAAUGUGUAAUUAUUAGGGGAAAAAAAAACCACCUAGCAAUCAUUUUAUUCAUAGUAAAAUCUCAAGGAACCAAAUGGGUCAUUUACACAGACAAAACUUUUCAUUAGAUACGAAGUAUUACACAUAAACGCACCAGGCUCUCUUCAAUUUGAUCAUACAGAGAGACAGAAUAAGAAACUAAAUUUGAAGAAUUGAAAAGCUUCUUUAUGUAGCGACUGGCAGCAAGAGUGAGUUGAAAGAUGUAUAGAAGCAUAAGUUGGGCGUGGAUUUGAUUGAAAUGUUUGAUAUGAGUGAAUGAGUGUCAAAAUUUUUGCAAAAUGUGAUGAGUAAUAUCUAAUAAGGAACACACGGGUUACCUAGGCAUGUAAUUUGGGGUAUGGGAUCAAUCGGAAACCGUUUUCGUGGACGUUUAGCGAGGUUUUUCUGGGAUUUGAGGAACUUUUCGAGCGAGAGAUGAUCGGGAUACGUUGAGUUUAAC
rnacentral:misc_RNA from 1 species